rfam:Ictidomys tridecemlineatus contig061433, whole genome shotgun sequence.
UGGGGUGUAGCUUAGUGGUAGAGCACUUGCUUAGCAUGAAGAGGCCCUGGGUUUGAUUCCCAGCACUGGAA